rnacentral:tRNA from 1 species
GGUGGGGUACCUAAGUGGCCAAAGGGAGCCGGCUGUAAACCGGUUGCGAAAGCUUCGGAGGUUCGAAUCCUUCCCCCACCA